ensembl:misc_RNA
UAAUGAUGAAAAACAAUGAAGAUCAAAUGUCCAUCUCAAUACUGCUUUUACAAAAGCAGAAUAAAAAAGUGAAAUGAAAAUGA